GCUGGCGGCGUGCUUAACACAUGCAAGUCGAACGGAAAGGCCCUGCUUUUGUGGGGUGCUCGAGUGGCGAACGGGUGAGUAACACGUGAGUAACCUGCCCUUGACUUUGGGAUAACUUCAGGAAACUGGGGCUAAUACCGGAUAGGAGCUCCUGCUGCAUGGUGGGGGUUGGAAAGUUUCGGCGGUUGGGGAUGGACUCGCGGCUUAUCAGCUUGUUGGUGGGGUAGUGGCUUACCAAGGCUUUGACGGGUAGCCGGCCUGAGAGGGUGACCGGCCACAUUGGGACUGAGAUACGGCCCAGACUCCUACGGGAGGCAGCAGUGGGGAAUAUUGCACAAUGGGCGGAAGCCUGAUGCAGCAACGCCGCGUGCGGGAUGACGGCCUUCGGGUUGUAAACCGCUUUCGCCUGUGACGAAGCGUGAGUGACGGUAAUGGGUAAAGAAGCACCGGCUAACUACGUGCCAGCAGCCGCGGUGAUACGUAGGGUGCGAGCGUUGUCCGGAUUUAUUGGGCGUAAAGGGCUCGUAGGUGGUUGAUCGCGUCGGAAGUGUAAUCUUGGGGCUUAACCCUGAGCGUGCUUUCGAUACGGGUUGACUUGAGGAAGGUAGGGGAGAAUGGAAUUCCUGGUAGAGCGGUGGAAUGCGCAGAUAUCAGGAGGAACACCAGUGGCGAAGGCGGUUCUCUGGGCCUUUCCUGACGCUGAGGAGCGAAAGCGUGGGGAGCGAACAGGCUUAGAUACCCUGGUAGUCCACGCUGUAAACGGUGGGUACUAGGUGUGGGGUCCAUUCCACGGGUUCCGUGCCGUAGCUAACGCUUUAAGUACCCCGCCUGGGGAGUACGGCCGCAAGGCUAAAACUCAAAGGAAUUGACGGGGCCCCGCACAAGCGGCGGAGCAUGCGGAUUAAUUCGAUGCAACGCGUAGAACCUUACCUGGGUUUGACAUGGAUCGGGAGUGCUCAGAGAUGGGUGUGCCUCUUUUGGGGUCGGUUCACAGGUGGUGCAUGGCUGUCGUCAGCUCGUGUCGUGAGAUGUUGGGUUAAGUCCCGCAACGAGCGCAACCCUUGUUCACUGUUGCCAGCACGUUAUGGUGGGGACUCAGUGGAGACCGCCGGGGUCAACUCGGAGGAAGGUGGGGAUGACGUCAAGUCAUCAUGCCCCUUAUGUCCAGGGCUUCACGCAUGCUACAGUGGCUGGUACAGAGAGUGGCGAGCCUGUGAGGGUGAGCGAAUCUCGGAAAGCCGGUCUCAGUUCGGAUUGGGGUCUGCAACUCGACCUCAUGAAGUCGGAGUCGCUAGUAAUCGCAGAUCAGCAACGCUGCGGUGAGUACGUUCCCGGGGCUUGUACACACCGCCCGUCAAGUCAUGAAAGUUGGUAACACCCGAAGCCGGUGGCCUAAUCGUUGUGGGGGAGCCGUCGAAGGUGGGACUGGUGAUUAGGACUA
rnacentral:rRNA from 1 species